UUCAAAUGGUUGUUACCCAGAGUCAUCUAUCUGGUCUACUUAGCAGAAUUUAUACUGUCUGGAGAAGAGAACUGGGGACUUUAUGGUAGGCCAGGAAGUAAGCUGGUUGUGACCCUGGAAAGCCACCCUGAGUGGUUCUGGUUAGAGGUUUCUUCCACAUCAGCAUCGCCACGGCCACGCCCAGCUUCUGCUUACUCCUCUUGGUAAACAGGUAACUGCAAUCUUGGACCAGACCACAGAGGGAUUCAGGUAUAAAGAGGCAGCUGCCACUUUA
rnacentral:lncRNA from 1 species